CUUAUCAAGAGUGACGGAGGGAACAGGCCCGAAGAAGUCCGGCAACCUGCUGCAAGCAGUAAGGUGCCAAAUCCUGCGGUGAAGCCGAGAGAUGAGA
rnacentral:ncRNA from 1 species